rnacentral:misc_RNA from 1 species
GAUGAAGAACGCAGCGAAAUGCGAUAAGUAAUGCGAAUUGCAGAAUUCCAGUGAGUCAUCGAAUCUUUGAACGCACCUUGCGCCCUUUGGCCAUUCCGAAGGGCAUGCCUGUUUGAGUAUCAUGAACACCUCAACUCUUUAUGGUUUUCCAUGAUGAGCUUGGACUUUGGGGGUUUUGCUGGCCUAUGGUCGGCUCCUCUAAAAUAAAUCAGCUUACCAGUGUUUGGUGGGUAUCAUGGGUGUGAUAACUAUCUACGCUUGUGGUUUUUCCGCCAGGUAACCUUCGACAGCGGAGGUUCACUGGAGCUCAUAGAUGUCUCUCCUCAGCGAGGACAGCCCUUUGAAUGUUUGAUCUCAAAUCAGGUAGGACUACCCGCUGAACUUAAGCAUAUCAAUAAGCGGAGGA